rnacentral:rRNA from 1 species
AUUGGAAACGAUUGCUAAUACCCUAUAUGCUUCCGAGUAAAAUAGUUUUUUGCCUGGAGAGGGGCUUGUGCCUGAUUAGCUAGUUGGUUAGGUAAUGGCUAACCAAGGCGACGAUCAGUAGCUGGCUUGAGAGGGCGACCAGCCACACUGGGACUGAGACACGGCCCAGACUCCUACGGGAGGCAGCAGUGAGGAAUUUUCCGCAAUGAGCGAAAGCUUGACGGAGCAAUACCGCGUGGAGGACGAAGGCUCAUGGGUCGUAAACUCCUUUUCUUAGGGAAGAAUUUUGACGGUACCUAAGGAAUAAGCAUCGGCUAAUUCCGUGCCAGCAGCCGCGGUAAGACGGGAGAUGCAAGCGUUAUUCGGAUUUUAUUGGGCGUAAAGGGUCUGUAGGUUGUUGGUUAAGUCUAUGGUCAAAUUCCGAAGCUCAACUUCGGGCCCGGCACUAGAAACUAAUCAACUUGAGUACGUUAGAGGCAGGGGGAAUUCCCCAGUGUAGCGGUGAAAUGCGUAGAUAUUGGGAGG